CUUAAACUGGGUGGAGAUGGCAAGAGUGGGAGGAGCAAAGCAAGUGAUAUGUAUAUAUAGACAUAAGAGGCUCCAAAUUGCACAGUCAACACAGAACACACAGAGCAGGAGGUACUUGUUUCUCCACUGCAAACUUGAGAUGAUCACUCCCCACAGAUGCUGGACCACUCUCUUUGCCUUCACCUGCUGUAUGGCUUUGCUCCUUGACCAUGUUGGGGGCUCCGAACCACCACCGUACCCGGGUGACAAUGCCUCAAAAGAAGAAAUGAAGGCAUUUCUGAAUGCCCUUACUGAGCAUCUUGAUCGAGAAGGCGCCAAGAAGAGGGACCUGGGUGAUGAGGAUAUCGCUGGAUUCUGAGAACAUCCCUAUAGUUGCCCCAAGUGACAGUUGAACACAACAGGGCCAAGACCAGAACAGAUGGACAUCACAGCAGUCACCCCAAACUCAAGACAGAAAACUGAUCUCUCCAUGCUUCUCCCUGAUGACCUUUGCCAGUUAUGCCUUGGUGAAUCUGCAUCUUUAAAGAGGCCAAGCUACUUGUGUUGCCUUCUUUUGCUCUCCUUAGUGAGUUACGGGAGAAUCACAUAAUUAGAACGAA